AGAGUUUGAUCCUGGCGUCAGGAUGAACGCUAGCGACAGGCUUAACACAUGCAAGUCGAGGGGCAGCGGGGGAGGGAGCUUGCUUUCUCCUGCCGGCGACCGGCGCACGGGUGAGUAACACGUAUGCAACCUGGCCGUCACAGGUGGAAUAACCGGAAGAAAUUCCGACUAAUACAGCAUAACACUCCUGAGGGACAUCCUUCGGGGGGUCAAAGGAGGCGACUCCGGUGACGGAUGGGCAUGCGGCGCAUUAGGUAGUUGGUAGGGUAACGGGCCUACCAAGCCGACGAUGCGUAGGGGUCUGAGAGGAAGGUCCCCCACAUUGGAACUGAGACACGGUCCAAACUCCUACGGGAGGCAGCAGUGAGGAAUAUUGGUCAAUGGCCGGAAGGCUGAACCAGCCAAGUCGCGUGAGGGAAUAAGGCCCUAUGGGUCGUAAACCUCUUUUGUCAGGGAGCAAAGGCGUCCACGAGUGGACGAAAGGAGAGUACCUGAAAGAAAAAGCAUCGACUAACUCCGUG
rnacentral:rRNA from 1 species